UGGUACUAUUGUGGGCUAUGCAUCCAUGGGAAAAGGAUGCACGGUGGGCUCACUACGUGCUCCACAAAGACCACUCUUUCACCAUCCUUGUCGAGAUUUCUUGCACCCGCUCCGCAGAGGAGCUGCUAGGGGCAAGAAAGGCGUAUCAUUCCCUCUUCCACCAUUCUCUGGAGGAAGAUGUUGCUUAUCAUGUCAAAGAAUCUAAUGCCAAAGGUGUUCCUGUUGAUGUGAACCAUGGAUUCAGUGUUGAUUUUGUUUGGAAGAGUAUCAGCUUUGAUCGGGUGCAAGGAGCAAUGAAAACUUUUGUUGUAGAUGAAACCAGUGUCAGCGGGUGAGCUUCAUUCUAUCCUCAUGAGUGAGAUUCAGAUAAUGUUUUAAUGUGUUGUGGAUUCGAAUGUUGUUUUAUGAGAUUCAGACAGUGUAAUAUUCAGAUGAAUGCAUGUACAGAUAUUGAAAGAAAUGACAUUUGAUCUCUCUCUCUCA